GGGUGGAUGAGUGGCGAACGGGUGAGUAACACGUGAGUAACCUGCCCCCUUCUUUGGGUUAACGCCCGGAAACGGGUGCUAAUACUGGAUAUUCACUGGCCUUCGCAUGGGGGUUGGUGGAAAGGGUUUUCUGGUGGGGGAUGGGCUCGCGGCCUAUCAGCUUGUUGGUGGGGUGAUGGCCUACCAAGGCCUUGACGGGUAGCCGGCCUGAGAGGGUGACCGGUCACAUUGGGACUGAGAUACGGCCCAGACUCCUACGGGAGGCAGCAGUGGGGAAUAUUGCACAAUGGGCGCAAGCCUGAUGCAGCGACGCCGCGUGAGGGAUGGAGGCCUUCGGGUUGUGAACCUCUUUCGCUCAUGGUCAAGCCGCAACAGUGGUUGUGGUGAGGGUAGUGGGUAAAGAAGCGC
rnacentral:rRNA from 1 species